rnacentral:rRNA from 1 species
UACGGAGGGAGCUAGCGUUGUUCGGAAUUACUGGGCGUAAAGGGCGCGUAGGCGGUUCGAUAAGUCCCGUGUGAAAUCCCUCGGCUCAACUGAGGAAUGGCACGGGAAACUGACGGGCUUGAGUUCGGGAGAGGGAAGCGGAAUUCCGGGUGUAGCGGUGAAAUGCGUAGAUAUCAGAAGGAACGCCGGUGGCGAAAGCGACUCUCUGGCUCGUAUCUGACGCUGAUGCGCGAAAGCUUGGGUAGCAAACGGG